AUUGAACGCUGGCGGCAGGCCUAACACAUGCAAGUCGCACGAGUGGCGGACGGGUGAGUAAUGUCUGGGAAACUGCCUGCUGGAGGGGGAUAACUACUGGAAAAGGUAGCUAAUACCGCAUACCAUCAGAUGUGCCCAGAUGGGAUUAGCUAGUUGGUGGGGUAACGGCUCACCAAGGCGACGAUCCCUAGCUGGUCUGAGGGGAUGACCAGCCAAACUGGAACUGAGACACGGUCCAGACUCCUAGGUGAGUCAGCAUGGGGGAAUAUUGGACAAUGGGCGCAAGCCUGAUGCAGCCAUGCCGCGUGUAUGAAGAAGGCCUUCGGGUUGUAAAGUACUUUCAGCGGGGAGGCGUUACCCGCAGAAGAAGCACCGGCUAACUCCGUGCCAGCAGCCGCGGUAAUAC
rnacentral:rRNA from 1 species